rnacentral:lncRNA from 1 species
GGGAAAUCUAAAGGUACUCCCUUGAAGGGUGGGGCUUACGAGUAACAAUCUCCCCCCAAACAGGCAGGAAGGUAUCUGUACAGCCAAGCUUUGGGGCAGAAGAUCCAGAGAAAUCUAUGACUAUUAUGGAAAGCAUAGAUCUCCCCAUACUUGCAGGCACAUUCAAACUGCCUCAAGGCUCUCUUCCUCGACACCUCCAUUCUCCACCUCAUGGCUGGGCCGAUGCAGUGACAUCACAAUGGUUGCUGUGGAUGAGAUGGAGUAUGAUGGUUCUCUUGGUGAAGGAUGUGAGGAGGUGGAGGAAGAUCUCUCUCUCUUAACUCCCCUUCCCAUGACUUCUCUCCCUUCCUCCCUCCUUUCAUCACUAUUCUCCCUUUUAUCCCUCCCACUCUCCUAGCUAUGUAGGAGUCAUCUGGAUUCAUAUUUGAGAGAAAAUGAAUGAAGAUUCUAGUGAGGGCCCUGACCCCAACUCCAGCCCUGCUGAGGAAGCCUCCCAGAGUCGGAAAAAUACAGGAAAGACGCAAACCUUUAGGGGCCGGAGGCAGAAGGCAGUAUUGGGGAAUAACUUCCUGGGACAGAGCCUAUGGUGGGGGGAGAACAAACUCUGCUCUUUCCUCCCCCCAGUGGUUGGCCCUUGUCUCUGUGGAUGCAGCUUAAGAGCAAAGGUAGUACUUCACCCUCGGCUCCCACCUUUCCCCCGGCAGGCCACCCAAAAUCUCCCCUACCUCCUAUCCAAGGGAAAGUCAACAUCAUCAGAGGCCUGGUCUAGAACGCAACUGGCUUCUCGAUCAUCUUUCCACCUAACCUCCCGGACCGGCCUCCAGACCAACAGUCACCCUCUGCAUCCCCGUCAGCUGGCCCCAUUAGGAAUGAAAACACAGGGGCAAACUCCCGCUACCCUAAAGAAGGUUUGGGACUUUUCUGGAAGCUGGCUGGAGAAC